AAAUACAUAAGGUUUUAUAUGAAAUUACUUGGUUUUUAUAGAGUAAACGUGGAUUCUUAAAAGAAAAACCAUUUUAUCAUUUUAAUAUUUUAGAAUUAAUUUUAGUAUUUUUAGUAAAAGGAAAAUAUUUGAGGUUUCACAAGGAAUUAUUUGGGUUUUUAUAGGAAAAACCAUUGUUAUCUUAACCGGAUCGGACCAGCCGGUCAAACCAGUUGGAUCAAGAAUCGUUCAGAUCAAGAUGUACCACGUCUGAAUUUAGAUCGGGGAAAAACUAAAGCCUCAGAUUAGUCAAUUUCGUUUCUACGCCCUAGUCGUCGAGAUUAUUAGAAGCUCAAUCAGUUUGGAAGCUCGUCGAAGAUCUAUCACACUAUCCAGCAUAAAUUUCGGUAGUUUUUGAUGUUUUAUCCAAGGUUAUAGUGGCAUUUAUAGGUGGAAUUAUAAUGAUGUUUAGUUGAAUGCUUAGAUGAUGAUUUAGUAUGUAUAAGUUAUUUGGUUUGGUAAAUUUGAUGCCAUGCUAGUUUGUGUCAAUGUGGCUAUGUUGUUGCAUGUUUGAAUGGCUCAAGUGGUAUGUGUUAAGUUGGUUUG